AUUCGAGUCUACGCAAACUGCGGAGCCCCGUGGCUCCGCGGUAGUUUUGUUCCAAGAAAGGACGCUGCGGGGGAGUUGGGGCGGCUUCUAACGCAUGCGUGGAGCGCCCUUUACCACUCGCUUUUUAUCCCGGUUUUGCAUGUCGGUUGCUGCAGCCCUGGGGAGGCGGAUGAGUAAUGGAAACUAGCCCAUCACUUUGAGGAGGGUACACAAAGGGAAAAAGGAACCAAUCCCACCCCGGUGAGCAAGAUUUGACUGAUGUCCCUGUCAGAUGAAGAAAUCAAGGUGGUUACAGAGCAUGUGGCAGACGCAGGACUCCAGUGCAAACAGUGUGGCUCCGGAGGCUAUGCUCUUAGCCCUUACAUUACCUUGCCUCUUAUUUUUGUGAGGUUAUCUAUAUUAGUUUCUCUGCAAAAGUUGGUAAUUAAAAAAAAAAUCUGUAGAACCUUAAACUGGUGGCUUUUCAGUCUAUAAAUGUGGCAGGUCAAUGGAAAUUUUAAAUGGAAUAAAGCAUAGAAUAAAAACGUUUCAAGA